rnacentral:rRNA from 1 species
UACGGGGGGGGCAAGCGUUGUUCGGAAUUACUGGGCGUAAAGGGUUCGUAGGUGGCUUGCUAAGUCAGACGUGAAAUCCCUCAGCUUAACUGGGGAACUGCGUCUGAUACUGGCGAGCUUGAGUGCAGGAGAGGAACGCAGAAUUCCAGGUGUAGCGGUGAAAUGCGUAGAUAUCAGGAGGAACACCGGUGGCGAAGGCGGCUUUCUGGACAGAAACUGACGCUGAGGCGCGAAAGCUAGGGGAGCAAACAGG